rnacentral:rRNA from 1 species
GUGGGGAAUCUUGCGCAAUGGGCGAAAGCCUGACGCAGCCAUGCCGCGUGAAUGAUGAAGGUCUUAGGAUUGUAAAAUUCUUUCACCGGGGACGAUAAUGACGGUACCCGGAGAAGAAGCUCCGGCUAACUUCGUGCCAGCAGCCGCGGUAAUACGAAGGGGGCUAGCGUUGCUCGGAAUUACUGGGCGUAAAGGGCGCGUAGGCGGACAGCUUAGUCAGAGGUGAAAGCCCAGGGCUCAACCUUGGAAUUGCCUUUGAUACUGGCUGUCUUGAGUUUGGGAGAGGUGAGUGGAACUCCGAGUGUAGAGGUGAAAUUCGUAGAUAUUCGGAAGAACACCAGUGGCGAAGGCGGCCAUCUGGACCAGCACUGACACUGAGGCACGAAAGCGUGGGGAGCAAACAGGAUUAGAUACCCUGGUAGUCC